UACAGAGGUCUCAAGCGUUGUCCGGAUUUAUUGGGCGUAAAAGAGCGUGUAGGCGGCCAGGUAGGUCUGGUGGUGAAAACUCGAGGCUUAACCUCGAGAUGUCAUCGGAAACCAUCUGGCUAGAGUCCGGAAGAAGGAGAGUGGAAUUCCUGGUGUAGCGGUGAAAAUGCGCAGAUAUCAGGAAGAACACCAAUGGCGAAAGCGCUCUCUGGGACGUGAC
rnacentral:rRNA from 1 species